rnacentral:ncRNA from 1 species
AUUAAAUCAAUGAGAAAGACACCAAGACAAGAAGCCUAUUUACCAGAGAGGAAAGCAUUUGCUGAGAGCUUUCUAAACAAGAACUUGUUUUGACCACUUUCAAGUGCCACUGUGAACCAGUUAUGAACUAGCAGUUUUGGCCGUUUCGCUAACGUUAUCAAGCCUAAGAGCAAGAGUCUAUUUUGGACUCUAAAAUUGGGUGGAACCACGACUAGAUCGUCCCUUUU